CUCCCCCAUCCCACAGGUCUGCAGCAACUGCACCAGUUGCUCGAGCUCUUCCCACUGCAGGAGCUCAGAACUGACAAGAACCCUGACCAAAGCAGUAACUCCUGGUUCUGCUGGUACACCUCUUGUACCUGGAGCUGGCUCUCCAUCUGGCUGAGAUGUCAUCUUUAACACUUCAAAACAAGCCUAAGGAGAAAAGAUUUUGGUGAUGUGACAUGAAAACAGACAGCACAAAUAUAGACCAGCAUGACAGAAGAUGUACACACUGGGUGUUGAAUACCAUUUGGAAACCAAACCCCAGUUACUUGACAGUCCAGGAAAUUUUUCACAGCUGAGCCAUUGUGUUUUCUUCAGAAGUUAGAAAUAAGAUUGGCAGAUUCAUGUCCGUAUUCACCCACGCAGCAAAGUACUGGAAGAACUGCAUUAUUUCACCCCACUCUUCAUGCAUGUUCAAAAUAGUUGAUGGGUGAAGGAAUGCUGGCUGGUUUUAUGCUAAGAAAAAAGCCUCCACAAGUUCACAUUCAGUACAGUUAAAUACUGCUGAUUAGCUGCUUACUUUUUAGAAAGUUCUCUGUCCUUAGUAUUUACACGAGUCUUUUUCUGACCUGCUGUAAGCCCGUGAGUCCAAACCAGAUAAGGAGUCUAAUGUUAGAGCUGGAGAUAGUGUAAUACUGUUACUAGUUGAUACUUGCUAUUUCAUUGCAUUCUAGGAUUAUGUAAUAAAGAAAAGAACUGCCUCAUAGAAGAGAAUGACUUAUGAAUUAUAAUACAGUAGUGAUCUUGUUUUUGGUGUUAUUAUUGCAUAUGUAUAUCUGCCUUUGCAUGGUUAGUUCUAGAAGAUACUGUCUACAGGUAUUGCUGACAAUUUAAAAAAAAAAAUUACAAUUCUUAUUUAUUCUUGGAAAUAUAUUUCUUUGCUUGCUAUGAAUCGGUUAAUUCUGAGCCAUUAUAUUGCUGUGCUAGUGCACUUUAUUGAAUGUAUCAAAGUACAUAAGACAUAUUGAUAUUGUAACAAUUAGACACAGAAACAAAGACUGUCUAAAAAACAAUUCCAAAGUUUUAGGAAGGAAGGAUUAUUAUAGAAUUCUGAGACUGCCUGAUACAAGAAGAAAGUGGUUUAGGCAGAUUCACAUAAUUUGACUUAACACACUCAUUCUGUAUAAAAGAAUUUAAUCUCAAAGACUGGCAAGCAGAAUUUUUAACAGGAACACUACUAUGCAAAUCAAAGAGCAAUUCUGUUAUCAUGCUAUGUACUAACUGCCAGACACUUGUUUGCUUUACAAAAUAUGCAUUAAUUUAUCAAAUUACCCUGCAAAAUAAACAAAACUGAAGAAAACCUAUGCAUUUAAAAUGGUUAGGAUUUGACAAAGAAAAAAUAUAAAAUGUUCAAAAGUAGCGAAUCCAAUUUUUGUUUCUUCAGCAACAAGCUCAUUUCAGGGAAAAGCUAUUAGAUACUGCUAUGUAAAGAAAAUGCAAUUUAUAAUGUUUAGUGUUACAAAUAAGAACUAAUUUUGAAAAGCUAAUUAGUGGAUUUCAUGAUGGCAUAACUACAUGAGCGGAUGAGGAAAAUGCUUGAUGUCAUCUAUCUUAAUGUUAGUAGAGACUUGGACAUAGUCCCCAUUGUAUCUUUCUUUUCAAAUUCAAAAUGUGUGGAUUUGAAAGGUGGACUGAUGAACAAAGUUUAGUCUAGUCAUACCUUGAGAGUGGUGGUCAUUGGCUCAAUGACUGGCUAGAGAAAGUAACAAGUGGUGCUCCUCAGGGGUCAGUACUGGGACCAAUGCUCUUUAAUAUCUUCAGCAGUGACAUUGACAGUGGGAUCAAGUACAUUCUCAUCAAGUAUGUGGAUGACAACAAGCUAUGUGAUAAGGUCGAGAUGACUGAGGGAUGGGAUGCCACUCAGACUUAGACAGCCUUUGUCAGUGGGACAAGGAGAAGCUCAUGAGGUUCAAAAAAUCCAAGUGCAAGGUACUGCACAUGGGUAAUGGCAACCAACCCCUUGUAUCAGUACAAGUUGAAAGAUGUAAGGAUGGAGAACAGCCCUGCCACAGUGGGCAUAGGGAUACUAGUCAAUAGCAAGUGGACAUGAACUAGCAGUGUGUACCCUCACAGCCCAGAAAGCCACUCCUGUGCUGGACUGCACCAAAAGAAUGGUGGUCAGCAGGUCAAGGUAGAUGAUGCUGCCCCUCUGCUCUGCAUUGGUGAGACCACAUCUGGAGUACUCCAUCCUGACGUGGAGUUCUCGAGUACAGGAGAGGCAUGGAUCUGUUAGAGCAUGAGCAGAAAUGGAAUACCUCCCCUGUGAGGACAGGCUGAAAGAGCUGGGUCUGUUCAGCCUGGAAAAGAGAAGGCUCUGGGGAGAUG